GGCAAGGCAGCCCAGUGGUGAAGGCGAUGGACUGCUAAUCCAUUGCGCUCUGCAGGUGUGGGUUCGAAUUCCGCCCUUGUCA